rnacentral:rRNA from 1 species
AAUAGAUACCCGGGUAGUCCACGCCGUAAACGAUGAGUGCUAAGUGUUAGAGGGUUUCCGCCCUUUAGUGCUGCAGCUAACGCAUUAAGCACUCCGCCUGGGGAGUACGGCCGCAAGGCUGAAAACUCAAAGGAAUUGACGGGGGCCCGCACAAGCGGUGGAGCAUGUGGUUUAAUUCGAAGCAACGCGAAGAACCUUACCAGGUCUUGACAUCCUCUGCCAACCCUAGAGAUAGGGCGUUCCCCUUCGGGGGGACAGAGUGACAGGUGGUGCAUGGUUGUCGUCAGCUCGUGUCGUGAGAUGUUGGGUUAAGUCCCGCAACGAGCGCAACCCUUGAUCUUAGUUGCCAGCAUUCAGUUGGGCACUCUAAGGUGACUGCCGGUGACAAACCGGAGGAAGGUGGGGAUGACGUCAAAUCAUCAUGCCCCUUAUGACCUGGGCUACACACGUGCUACAAUGGAUGGUACAAAGAGCUGCGAACCCGCGAGGGUAAGCGAAUCUCAUAAAGCCAUUCUCAGUUCGGAUUGUAGGCUAA